UACGAAGGGGGCUAGCGUUGCUCGGAAUCACUGGGCGUAAAGCGCACGUAGGCGGAUCGUUAAGUCAGGGGUGAAAUCCUGGAGCUCAACUCCAGAACUGCCUUUGAUACUGGCGAUCUUGAGUUCGAGAGAGGUGAGUGGAACUGCGAGUGUAGAGGUGAAAUUCGUAGAUAUUCGCAAGAACACCAGUGGCGAAGGCGGACUCACUGGCGUCGAUACUGACGCUGAGGUGCGAAAGCGUGGGGAGCAAACAGG
rnacentral:rRNA from 1 species